CUCAUAGAACACCUUCUUCAAUCAUUUCCCUUAUUUAUGUGCAUUUACUGAGAACUACAUAUUUAUAAAAAUGCUGCAUGUGAGGAUGACACAUUGCUUCUGGACCCAUAAAACUGGAGGCAUGGAAUAACAGAUUAAUUAGCUGUUAAAUAAAAGAGAAGGGGGAACAGGGAGAGAAAUUGCCUUAUCUUUUACUUAACAUAAGGCAAGCACAGGGUUAAAACCACUCCAAGCCAGAGCUCUGAUCAGGCAGCUCCUGGAGGUGUGCCCACUGAGGAGGUGUUAAUUUGGGAGGAUUGGAGCAUAAAUAGGCAAGCCCAAGCCUAGGAAGCUUUUUUUUCUCCUUUUGUUGUGCCUUUAUUCUUGGUGAGCUCAGGAUAGAAAACUGCGAAUUAAGUCUUGGAGGAUAAACUUGAAGAAAGUGAGCUGUGAUUACAAAUUUGAUGCCCACUGAUGUCUCACCUGCGUGGCAGGUGGCAGUGAUUUCCAUUUUAUGGAAGCUCUUUCACUCGGCGAGGUCUUCUGGAAGGUAGUGUCAUGCUGUCCUGCCUGGUUCUUCAAAAAGUUUUUCCUGCCCUCUGUAUCGGAUAGCUCAACCUAGUGAGCAGGUUAUUAUCUGUAAGCCUCUCUUGCCGUAAACUGAACUAAUUCAAAUCAAAAUAUAAGUUUUAAAGCUAGCAAUGGAUUUCCUCUGUUAUUCGAGAUGACAGCUCAAAGCUGACUUUGUGGGCAAGUCUGGGAACACAAAAGCAAGGGUUUGUACAAAGAGGUAAUAGCUUUUAGUAGACAAAUCUGUUAAGCUUUCAGCUGUGAGAAUGGCUGAAAGAAAAUUGCCCUGAGCUUUAAUAGAGAGAUCCAGAGAUAGGGAUGUGAGGCUGGGGAUCAUGUGCUGCUAGUCUCCAAAACUAUGGGAGCUAUUUACGUUCAUAAAAGCAAUAAAAAAAAAAAAAAAAAAAAAAAAAAAAAAAAAAAAAAAAGACGCCAGGCUCCUUCCUCUUUCAGCAGCUAUAUGCGUGCCUUUUGAAGUAUGCUGUGAAUUUCCUGGAUGUGAGAAAGAUAUUUACAAAAUUAUCAACCGCUUGCUCAGGAACAGCAAACAUAAGCCCCUGGGGACAGCUUAAUAAAUGGCAGAAACCUCAUUCUUGGUGUUGCUGUGAGCAGGAGAGCCGUCAAACCUCCCAGUUUUGGGGGCUGCAACAGAAGCCUCCUGGCAGGAAAUCCUGUUGCGCAAAUCUGUUUCCUUCUUGCUUCCUCUGCUGUAAAGUUUUUAUUUUUUCCAGAAACAAUCCAUCUCCUGAAUGUUGUGGAGGGCCGAGGAAACUGAUUUUGUUGUUUCUUGAUUUAUUCUUUGCUUGACAUUUCUCUUAGGUCCUUCUGAUAAAUGCUAGAGCCAGGCUUGCUCUCUCCAAGACGCUCUUGUGCUCUUUUCACUUGGGGAAAUCUGUAAGUGCUGAGCUAUGAGCUGUUUUUUCUGAGACUCAGUGAGCCUCCUGCAAGCAGAGCACAGACAUGAAAGAGGCCCUGACAAAAGAGGAACGCAGUGAACAGUGACAGUGGCCUUUUCUAGCUGGGUUUCUCGGGAUAAAACUUGAAUUUCAGCUGACAUUCUAAAUGUGGACUCCCAAAAUAUUUUAAACAGUCAUAUCUGCUUAAGAGCAAUAACUUUCUGCUUGGCUGCCCUGCUGUGUGUCAUCCAGGAUAUGGCAUUCACCGAAAAAUGUCACUGGUCAAAGAAAUAAGGAAUAGACUGUGCUCUGGGGAUUCCAGCUUUCUACAAUAACCUUUAGUUAAAAAAGCAUCCUUUCGGACAGCAGCAUUAGCAAGCAGUUGGGAAUUUUCUGUGCCUUGGAGGACAGCAAUCAGGUUACACGUGAGCAUGCCUUUAGCAGCCUUACAGAACGUCUUCGUGGCACAUUUUCUGUAAGAGCAGUUGUGGCGUAGGACAGAAAUCUCUGAAGAAAAUCAUUGCCCAGGUAACUGUGCACUGUAUUUUCUGCUUUGCUUCUGAGAUGCUAUGUAAUGUGCACGGUGACAACGUGUUUGCUUUGUUUGUUACAGGAAAUCUUGGUAAGUGCCUCAACUGAUAGCUGAAAGCCACAAAUCAGGAAGCCAUAAGUGACAGAAAGCAUUAGUGGCAGUUGUGCACUGAGAGAGAUGAGUCAGGAAGCCGAAUACAGAAAUAUAAAGUAAGUGAUACAGAAGUAAGGCUAGACUAAACUUGUGGGAUGCUGAAGUAUCCCUAAAGAUGGCAGAGACGGUGCAACUUCCUCGCAGCUAUACAGACUUCUGGGGAUGCCCACAUGUCAUGCAGAUUUACUGGGACUACCUGCAGAGAAAAUGGAUAACAUGAUCUGGAAGAGCAUUUUGUUUUCCUUUCUCACAGCCUCACAACAGAGUUGUGAGAUCUAUCAGUUAAGCAACAUGCAAUAAUGGUCUUGUUUAUAUUAAAGCAAUUUAUAACUCUCUACUGAAGGAAUGCAGUUUUGACACAUUUUCUGCCAAGCACUCAAAAGAAUAUGCAACAGUUAAAAACACUGCAGAGUGAUGUCUGCCAACAUCAUAUGUUAUGCGAGGAAAGCUUAAUAAACAGAGCUGAACGGAAUAAAAUAAUUCUUACUCUAUUUGAAUUAAAAGCAGUAUUGAGGAAUAGUAGUCAGCCUUUGAAAAGACUUUAUGAAUCAUGUAUCUGGAUGUAAUUAAUUGUCAUAGUAGCUUGCAUUAUUUUUGCACAAACAAUGAAACUUUCCAUAAUAUCCCAAUUUUUCCCCACGCUCAGAUUGAAAGGUCACUGCAAAAAACUGCCUGAACCUUAUGUCCCAUUUACUUACUCAUUUGUGCUGGCGAAAUGUGUGUUCAUGAGCAGGAACAUACUUUUGAAGAACUGCACUUUAGUUUUACUGCUGCAGUGGCAAUAACUGUGGGACUACCCAGAAAGACAAAUAUUUAGUGUAUUCAUUUGUUUUGUCAACAUCUACAAUUUUUCCAGCAAUUUCAUUUCACAGCAGUGCAGCCCUCUGAAUUAUGGAAAAGUAAUAAUAAUAAUAAAGAACUAGCCAUGCCUGUCAAGAGUGCAGAAUUUCCUCCUGACUUGUAAAUUAAAGUGUUUGUUGACCCUCAAUUCAAAACUCACAAUUUCUACCUUUCCUGUCUCCAUCCAUAAGCUUUAAAGUAGCAAAUCUUCCCCUGCAUGGGCAUAUGUUGUACAGAUACUGAGUUUUAUGAAGUAACUCGUUAUUCUAGUUACUGAGAAAUGUAGUAAGUUUGGGUGUUAACUACUAAACUAUUCAUCAGAUUUAAAUCACAGCCUCUUACAUGCAUUGAAUCUGUUAAGCAAAAAAUAAAAAUUAAAAAAAAAAAAAAAUCCAGUCUCACUGUCACACUAUUUGCUCAGCCAAGUGUCCUAUUUUGUGAAAUGUUGAUAGAAGGCUGGAGAGAGAAGGGAUUGCAAAAAGAUUAUGAAGCUGCAGAACAAAUUCUUAGCGACAUAUUUACAAAGUAAUGCAAACCACAACAUGCAGCUAAGAAAGCAAGAAAUACUUCUCCUGGCUGUGAAGUCAUCACAAGUUUUAUAACUAGUGAACAAAACAAAAAGCAGAAGGCUUAAUUGUUGAAGAGAGAAGGAUAAAUCUGCUAUUGAGAUGAAGUGCUUUUAAGUCAAAAUACUUUGUCCUACUAUUUUAUGUUUUCCCAUCAAAUAGCUCACAGAAUCCAAAGGUAUUUGAGAACCUUUUUAACCGUUCCGCUAAUGUGCAAACUAUGCAUCUCCGCAAGUUCUGUCUAAUCACAAGUGAAACCAGUGAUAAUUUGUUUGCAGUUUCAGCCCUUCAGCUACUCUGUGUAUUUCUUUAUCAGAAGCUGAACUCCACGUAUCACGGGAUGCUGUACACAGAAGAACAGAGAGCAAACGAGUCUGUCUCCCCACCGUCUUAUUCAUCUCCCUCAAGCAAGAUGUACUGCAUUAUACCAUAAGUUCACACUUUGUGGGAGGAACACUAGAACCGUUGUAUCAAAAGUUAAGUGGAGGACUUUUCCUGCUCACUCAUUCGACCUUAUUCUCAAGUGGUGAACUUCAGCCUUUCUCUGACAUCCCAGGUUCUGUUCUGAAUCAUUGUACCUACUUGAAACAAAUAAACAAAAACCAGUAAGUCGUGGUUUUUCUAAACUAUCCAGAUUACAGAAUUUUUUUAAGAGUGGCAUUUAGUUUUCC